AAUGGCGUGAACCCGGGAGGCGGAGCUUGCAGCGAGCCGAGAGAGCGCCACUGCACUCCAGCCUGGAUGACAGAGCGAGACUCAGUCUCAAGGAAAAAAAAAAAAAGAAUGCCAGUCAUCUUUUUCUUACAACCUCUAAAAACUUUGAGAUUCAAUAAAUCAAUGUAUACAUAGUCUACCUCGUCUACCCACUCCUUGAAGACACAGAAAGAUGUUAUUGGAAACGAUCCCAAGAUGGAAGACAUCUUGCUCUCAAGAAGUCUUAAGUACAACUGAGCUUGCUAGCAAAACUAACCCAGGUUUUCCUCAUUUGUCUUUGGAAUGCACCCCAAAGGCUAAGACUAUUUAUUUUAUCACAUUAUAAGGGAGCGAGCUUACGAGUCAGAUUUUGAAGCACUGUCUUUAAAACUGUAACAUACCCAGAAGGGUUGGCAGAAUUGGGACUGGAAUAAAAUAGGAUACAAUUUGUAAAAUCAUCUUCAUAUAUUUGAAUAAGGUAUGCUUCCCCCUCUCAAACUUACUCUGUAAAAUGGCUCUUAUAGCAGUUGUUAACACCAUAGUGUGAAUAUGAGGCAAUGUGCUAUCUCUCUGAGUAAUAUUUGCAUUUUGGAUCUCAUUUCUAAUUGUGGAAUGAAAUAAUCUGUUCCAGAUAAAAGAAUUUUAAGUUUAAGCCCAGAAAUUAUUUUUAAGCUCUACUUGAUCACCUUUUUUUGGUAGCUUGAAGGGAAGACUCACAGAAAAGUAUUUUUUCUUGAGAGAAUAUUCUCUUCCUGCCAAUUUUGCUUUACAAAACUACAUUGUUUUACAUUAUGUAUGUUAAUCAAUGCACUUGGAGACUGUAGGGAGCUGGAAGGACUUAGAGCUGGAAGGACUUUAAAGUUUAUCGAAUUCAAUACCCUCAUCCAGAGUUUUUAAAAUAAUAAAUCUACAGCUGUCUUUAAACUAAUCUUUGAUACAAACUGCUAUUUCAUAAUCGUCUUUCCCCAGACGAAUCUCCAUCAGUGACAUGAUUAGUAACUGUCUCUGGUGGUGCAUGUCUUUACAUCCAGACAUGUCCAUUUUGCACAACCACAGAUACACUCGAGGCGAUGUUACCGAACUGCCCUCCAUGGAUUAUGUGCUAUGAGUUGUUUUCCUCAAUGUGAUGAUGCUUUUGCUUUAAGCAAUGGAUGAUCUCUAGUUACUUCUCCUUAUUGGCCAGUAGUGAACAUGUGUGUGGCAGCAGGUUGGGGUCAGAUAUGAAACUCAUGACCCAUAAAAGAGAGAUGUUGACAGGGCCCCAUGAGGAGCACCUAAUAUGGGUUUCAUUAACCAGGUGUUCUAACCAAGGAGUUAACCAGCUGCAGAUACAGACAAAUAGACACAUACCCUUU
rnacentral:lncRNA from 10 species